rnacentral:tRNA from 1 species
AUUAAAGUGGCAGAACUCGGACAUUGCAAAAGACCUAAACCCUUUUUACAGAGGCUCAAAUCCUCUCUUUAAUA